rnacentral:rRNA from 1 species
CCUACGGGACGCAGCAGUGGGGGAUAUUGCACAAUGGGGGAAACCCUGAUGCAGCGACGCCGCGUGAGUGAAGAAGUAUUUCGGUAUGUAAAGCUCUAUCAGCAGGGAAGAAAAAAGACGGUACCUGACUAAGAAGCCCCGGCUAACUACGUGCCAGCAGCCGCGGUAAUACGUAGGGGGCAAGCGUUAUCCGGAUUUACUGGGUGUAAAGGGAGCGUAGACGGCAAUACAAGUCGGAAGUGAAAUACCCGGGCUCAACCCCGGGACUGCUCUUGGAACUGCGUGGCUGGAGUGCAGGAGGGGCA